AUAAUGGGUCAGCGACUUAUAUUCUGUAGCAAGGUUAACCGAAUAGGGGAGCCGAAGGGAAACCGAGUCUUAACUGGGCGUUAAGUUGCAGGGUAUAGACCCGAAACCCGGUGAUCUAGCCAUGGGCAGGUUGAAGGUUGGGUAACACUAACUGGAGGACCGAACCGACUAAUGUUGAAAAAUUAGCGGAUGACUUGUGGCUGGGGGUGAAAGGCCAAUCAAACCGGGAGAUAGCUGGUUCUCCCCGAAAGCUAUUUAGGUAGCGCCUCGUGAAUUCAUCUCCGGGGGUAGAGCACUGUUUCGGCAAGGGGGUCAUCCCGACUUACCAACCCGAUGCAAACUGCGAAUACCGGAGAAUGUUAUCACGGGAGACACACGGCGGGUGCUAACGUCCGUCGUGAAGAGGGAAACAACCCAGACCGCCAGCUAAGGUCCCAAAGUCAUGGUUAAGUGGGAAACGAUGUGGGAAGGCCCAGACAGCCAGGAUGUUGGCUUAGAAGCAGCCAUCAUUUAAAGAAAGCGUAAUAGCUCACUGGUCGAGUCGGCCUGCGCGGAAGAUGUAACGGGGCUAAACCAUGCACCGAAGCUGCGGCAGCGACGCUUAUGCGUUGUUGGGUAGGGGAGCGUUCUGUAAGCCUGCGAAGGUGUGCUGUGAGGCAUGCUGGAGGUAUCAGAAGUGCGAAUGCUGACAUAAGUAACGAUAAAGCGGGUGAAAAGCCCGCUCGCCGGAAGACCAAGGGUUCCUGUCCAACGUUAAUCGGGGCAGGGUGAGUCGACCCCUAAGGCGAGGCCGAAAGGCGUAGUCGAUGGGAAACAGGUUAAUAUUCCUGUACUUGGUGUUACUGC
rnacentral:rRNA from 1 species